rnacentral:misc_RNA from 1 species
GAAAUGCGAUAAGUAAUGUGAAUUGCAGAAUUCAGUGAAUCAUCGAGUCUUUGAACGCACCUUGCGCGCCUUGGUAUUCCUUGGAGCAUGCCUGUUUGAGUAUCAUGAAAUCUUCAAAGUAAAUCUUUUGUUAACUCAAUUGGUUUCUACUUUGGUAUUGGAGGUCUUUGCAGCUUCACACCUGCUCCUCUUUGUUCAUUAGCUGGAUCUCAGUGUUAUGCUUGGUUCCACUCGGCGUGAUAAGUUAUCUAUCGCUGAGGACACUGUAAAAGGUGGCCAAGGUAAAUGCAGAUGAACCGCUUCUAAUAGUCCAUUGACUUGGACAAUACUUUUAUGAUCUGAUCUCAAAUCAGGUAGGACUACCCGCUGAACUUAAGC